UGGGGAAUAUUGCACAAUGGAGGGAACUCUGAUGCAGCAACGCCGCGUGCGGGAUGACGGCCUUCGGGUUGUAAACCGCUUUCAGCCAUGACGAAGCUUUUGUGACGGUAGUGGUAGAAGAAGCACCGGCUAACUACGUGCCAGCAGCCGCGGUGAUACGUAGGGUGCGAGCGUUGUCCGGAAUUAUUGGGCGUAAAGAGCUUGUAGGCGGUUUGUCGCGUCGAUAGUUUAAACACGCAGCUUAACUGUGUGCCUGCUGUCGAUACGGGCUGACUAGAGGAGGGUAGGGGAGAAUGGAAUUCCCGGUGGAGCGGUGGAAUGCGCAGAUAUCGGGAGGAACACCAGUGGCGAAGGCGGUUCUCUGGACCUUUCCUGACGCUGAGAAGCGAAAGCGUGGGUAGCAAACAGG
rnacentral:rRNA from 1 species